rnacentral:rRNA from 1 species
UACGUAGGGGGCUAGCGUUGUCCGGAUUUAUUGGGCGUAAAGAGCGUGUAGGCGGCCAGGUAGGUCUGGUGUGAAAACUCGAGGCUUAACCUCGAGAUGUCAUCGGAAACUAUCUGGCUAGAGGCCGGAAGAGGAGAGUGGAAUUCCUGGUGUAGCGGUGAAAUGCGCAGAUAUCAGGAAGAACACCAAUGGCGAAGGCAGCUCUCUGGGACGGUACUGACGCUGAGACGCGAAAGCGUGGGGAGCGAACAGG